CGGGGCGUAGCGCAGCUUGGUAGCGUGCCACUUUGGGGUAGUGGAGGUCGUGGGUUCAAAUCCCGCCGCUCCGA
rnacentral:tRNA from 6 species